rnacentral:rRNA from 1 species
UACGUAGGGAGCGAGCGUUGUCCGGAAUCAUUGGGCGUAAAGCGCGCGUAGGCGGCCCGAUAAGUCCGCUGUAAAAGUCAACGGCUCAACUGUUGAAAGCCGGUGGAUACUGUCGGGCUAGAGUACGGAAGAGGCAAGUGGAAUUCCAGGUGUAGCGGUGAAAUGCGUAGAUAUCUGGAGGAACACCGGUGGCGAAGGCGGCGUUCUGGACUGCAACUGACACUGAGGAACGAAAGCCAGGGGAGCAAACGGG